UAAUUGAGAAAGACUUUAAUGUACCGUCGGGAUUAACCCAGUGAUAAACACCGGGGCCGCACGUUUCAGUUUUGCUGGUUAGCCAUCUGUACGAAGUACUUGGUGGUGAUUUUUAUUCCAUCUCUAAGGUAGUUCAUAUUCAUUUGAAAGGUUGAGAAGAAUUCCAUAAAUAUUCUUUUCAGCUAUGUGGGAAAGUUGACUGUUGAAUUUUUUAUCUAAUUCUUAGAACAAUGUCAUUGGAACCGUAGUAUGCACUGUGACACAUAUUUAUCUUGGUUAGCUAAUAAUUGUAAUUUAAUUAGUGUGGUGCCAGUUCACAUUUUGUUAUAAGGGCUGGUGCAGGGGACUAUGAGAGCUGACUGUGUUUUGUUGCUGAUAAAGAGUUUAACUUCAUGCUCUUCUUGAGGCUUCUCUGUGGGCCAAAAUACAUUCGUAGCACUGAGUAGCAGUUAUAAUUUCCUGUCGGUGUUGCUUUUCAGUGAAAGUGAGUACAAAUGUUUGCUCAAAGGUUACAAAGAAGGCUGCCUAUUCGAAGUUUUUUUGCGAAAGUGCCUGUAUACAACAUGUGCCCACCUCUUGCUGCCUUGUGUUGGUUGUGUCAUCUACUGAGAAAGAUUGUCAGUGCGCUUGUGCUCUCUGUCUUGAGGUUGUCAUGGUAACUUGCUACACUAAUGUGUGUCCUAUAGGACACUGAGGGAGUGAACUCUAUUACGGCACAUCAGAGUGUAGCCUGGAUGUAAAAAUACAUUUACAAGUAUAUUUUAAAACUGCAGUGACGCUGCUUCUAACUUGUCUCCAGCUCUCAUUCCAGAGUGAAUACAAACCAGAGGGGACACCAAUAUGAAGAUGCAUAGAGUUGAAAAGACAGGCGAGAAGUGUUUCUGUCUGAAUAACUCAAAUAAUAGUAAAAAGAGGGCAGACAUGGGAUGCAUACACUGUUGUUUCUGGUUGUAAGCCAGAAGAGCUGGAAGAGAAAUUCAUAUGCCGCCUUUUACCCCUCAGUAUACAAAAAGCCUUGUUCUACAGACCAUUAGUUUUGAAGAAGGGGCUGGCAGCCCUUUUGUGCAUGUGAAUAACCACUCAAUACCACUUUACCCUGCUACAUUGAAGCCAGAAAAACAUGGAAAAAUUCAUUGCUUUCUUUGCCUAGUAUACUUAUAUUGAGUGCUUUGUAGUGCAGCCUUCUUGAGACCCAUGUUUUGAUAACGCAUUCCAUUUUGCUUUAUGUGCAGUGUUUUCAAAAACUUGCACUCACAUUUUUCUGAAGUUUUUACACAGGUACUCGCGUAAAUAUUUUUGCAUAAAAGUUCAUCUUAAGAGUGUUUCUGUCCAGUAGGUGUUUCCCAGUUGAGAUUUAUGCGUGCAUGUUUGUCUCACAGAUAAAGUACUAUUUUGCAAGAACUAUUCCGUCCAUGAUGCCUAAGCGAGUAUGAUAGGCAGUACAUACUUCAUUAUGUCAUCCUUCACACACUCUAAACAGGAGGAGUAGCCGCAGUGCAGAAUACAAUUACUUGUUUUUGUGAUGAUCACCUUGCUCAUCUCCUUCACUGGAGAUGCUAUGAUGUUUAACGAAAAUAUUUUUACGUGCAAGCGUAAAUGGCUAGGCGCACCGAGGGCCGUUCAGGGGUAGUGUGAAGUCGCAAAGGAAACGGAGGAGGAGGGCGCCUGGAGGUGGAGAAGAGAAUCGCGCGUCGGGGAAAGUACGAAGGAGUGCACUGAGGCAUGCAGCAAACCGACGCCACCUAGAGGAAAGUAGGGCUUUUACUCCGGCGGCUGCUGCUUAGGGCAUGGCCGCAUGAGCCCUAUCUUGAAAGCAAUCUGCAAUGUGGACAGUCUAGGCGUCAAGGUGCACCAAGAGCCGAUAGCUUCAUGUGCGCUAAAGCAACCAUAUGCUUGCGCUGCACCUGUGUUCACGAACUGAAACAUCACUAACUUUUUUUCUUUUAGUUUUUUAUAAUUGAAAAAAAUGGUACAGUUCUUAUUCAGCUGUUAUUUGAAAAUAUGCCGUUGAAGUGGUUUGAACUAGUUUACUUUUGUUUGUUUAAUCGACAUGUAGUGUUGAUGGUAGUAGCAUCAAAUACAUUUAUUUUAACCAAGAAUGUAUGGGAAACGAAAGAAGUCGAAAGCUUUUUUUCACGACAUGAAUGAAAGCUAUGAAAUUUACUUUGCCUUGUUGUUACAUGCUACUGGGCAGGAGUUGCAGUUUGAUAACUUAGCUAAAGAAACUGACUUUGUUGAGUGUGAUUAGCGAAAAUGCAUAAAGCGCAGCAAAGUGUAUAUGACAUUAAAUUUUGUGAAAGGAAGGGCUCAGUACAGAGAAGGUGUGCUAUACACUUGUGGAAAAAACGACAUGGCUCGUGGAGCGCUAGGCAAGAACUGAUUUAUUUGUCGCUGUACGCACACCAUCGAAAUGUUCUCUUGUGCAAUUUCUUCAUCGUCGGCACCACCGCAGUGGGCUCCUUUGAAAACGGAGUCAUCCCAACGCACAUGCUUGGGGAUGCAAGAUGAGGACUGGUCUUGCGCCGUUGGGCCUAUUGAGGCCCUAGCAAGACAAUUUUUGAAGAAUCCAACAGAGGAGCAGCCACGUGAGCUUCGACAAAGGCACAUUCCAGCUGGUGCAGAUAUACGACAGUGUUGUGACCAUUCACUCGCAGAGUUGCUCUUAUUUCUGCGUGACAACAAGAUACAGACCAGUAUACGGUGCCUCGAGAGUGCGGCGGGUGGAGUUGAUGUGAAAGAAUACAUGUGUGCUGUCUCGUAGGUGAUGUUAGACAAAUGGCGACUUGUGGUGUUGGGCUUGGGUAGGAGGAGUACGUGGGCAUGUGAAAGGUACGCUAGUUGGUGAGCAUGAGAGGAGUUGGGUAUGUGCCCUGAUGCGGCCACGUUAGGAGGGCAGACUAGCUCUGUUGGCAGUCAUAAGGAGGGGCCAUAGACGAGGUGGGAAGGCACACAACCAAGGUUUUAUUUAAUGGUGGUGCGCAGCUCCAGAAGUAUAAUUUGAAGAGAUGUGACUCAUUGGUUGCAGCUGCUAUCAGCCAUAAAAGCGCAACUUUGAGCUGGUGAUGGAAUCACUGAACGAGGUCAUUGGCUUGUGGGUGGUAUGCUGUAGCUCUGAAGUGGCUAGUACAGAAGAGUCUUGUCAGCUGCUGGAAUAGGGCCACCUUGAACUGUCUGCCACGGUUGGUUACAAUCUCAGCCGGAGUCCCGAAAUGGGCAACCCAUGUGGAAACAAGGGAAGUGGCAACAGUCUCCACUGUUACGUUUGAUACUGGUGCAGCUUCUGGCCAACGCAUGAAACGGUUGAUGAUUGUCGUUAUAUAUUGGGAUACCUUUGAAGGAGGGAAGGGUCCGAAUAAGUCAAUGUGAUUGACGCCGAAACGAGAGUCUGGAAGAGCAAAUCUGGCCAGUGACAUAGUACAGUGCCUGUACGCUUUGCAUUGUCGACAAGUAAGGCACAUGUGCCCAGUUGGGCAUAUUGGCGUUCAUGUCGGGCCAGACGAAACAUUCUGCCAUGAGGUGCUGGGAUGCGCGAAUCCCGGGAUGUUACAGACAGUGAAUCUGGCCAAAGCAAGACGACGUAGUAGCAAUGGAGCAUAAGGAUGGUGACGUCCAGUAACCUCAUCAAUGUUGCAGAUGAUGGAUAUGCUGUGAUUGGGAAAGUAGACAUCAUGGAAGUGCAAUGAUGAAGAAGGAGAUGAACUGAAGAAUGCAAAGUUCCUGAUUGUGCUCUUGUAACUCUACUAGACGCUGAAGCAUAAACUGGGUCAUUGCAAGGCUUGAAACGUGGCUCAGUGUGUUGUCGGCACCUUUCAUAUGCCGAAAAUCAGUAGAGAAUUCGGCAAGGAAAGCCAAAUGACGUGUUUCUCUCACAGAGUAUGUAGCUUUCGACAAGGUGAAGGCGUUUGUCAAAGGUUUGUGGUCUGUGAAAAUGAUGAGUGGGCAUCCUUUCAAAAAGUAAUGGAAGUACUUGACUGCAAGGUACACUACAAGAAGCUCUCUGCCAAAAGCGCUGUAGUGCUGCUCCAUUGGUGUUAGGUGCGUCUAGAUUUUGUGGCGUUGUUUACCUGAAAUGGAGCACCACAAUGUACCCUGUGCAAAUUCCGGGGCUGAUCCUUCUCAACGACAACUAGUUGUCGCUACGCUGUCCGCCUGCCUUCUCUCCACAUGCAAAACCCGGACCUCUGGUUCCUGCAGGCGGAGGAGAGCUCCGAAAUAUCACGUUUGUGUCAAUAAUGUGGAAAAAAGGGGUUUUGUGGAGCACUAGGCAAGAACUGAUUUAUUGCCUGCAGUGUGCACGCCAUCGAGGUGAUCUCUCAGGCCGUCCUCUUCAUCGUCCUGCGCCGGCACAGCAGCGUCGCCACUCACUCGGUAUGUGUGCAAGGCAUACCUCUGGGCGAUUCAAUGUAGAUGUGACAAUGGUGACUUAUCUCCUCCAAUGGCACAGCACCCUAUUGUUCCCUUGGGUCAUUAAUGUCAUUGUAAUUGUGCACCAGGUAAUUGAAAGCAGCUGUUUAUCAUUUACAAGCUCUUCAGUUUACGGACGUCAAGUUACGAAUGGCAUUAUGUGCGUGUAUCAGAUAAUGUAUACAAGUCCUUUUUCACCAAAUUUGACUCUACACAAACUUUAUAUCAGUUUGUGUAAAAAUGAGAAAAUAUUCAGGAUUUGAUUUGGAGGUCAUUUUUUUCAUAUUCAUAUCUGAUUAGAAAAUGUUACUAUUCAAACACCCCUAAUUCUAAUUCAUUCUGGAUUUGCUCUAAACUAGCUAUUUGUUGGUUUGCUUUUUGAUUUUAUUUUUCUUAGAAAUUCAAAUGUCUGUGCAGCAUAACGAACUCGUGUGCUAUGCUUCACAUAUGUCUCGGGUGCACAGCGCCUCAUUCAUGGGUCGCUGGUAGGCCGCACCAUUUCUGUGCACCUUGAGGUUCUUCACGCCAAGUACUACCAGCUUAUGCGAAAUUUUUUUAAAAUUCUUCAUAACCCUUUUACAGAGACAGAGCUUUUGUGAUGUGGGACCGAUUUGUGUACUUGCUACCAUAGCUGUACAAGCUCUUUAAUUUUCAAUGCUGCUGUGAGGCUGUCAGCCAUAUUGAGGCGAGCAGCUGAGAUCACCUUGUCUUGCUCACAAUCACUCAUCAUAGCUGGUGAUUAUGUUUUUCUUUUUGGGGGGGUGGUUGUGUGCGCACAUGUAUGAGUUGAGUAGUCACCGUGACCAGAUGUGUGGCAUCUCUGACCAUAUAUUGAAUCUCAUGUACCUCAGAAUUAUUACAGGAUGUGCUGUCUUUCUCGCUAGCAUUUAUUAUGUUUGCAUCUGUUUGAAGCCAUAUUCUGAAAACAUUGUUCAGAGCGCAUAUUGGAGAUUGUGAAUGACGUCUUAUAUGAGCCAGCAAAUUUUUCUGUGCUCACAGUAUUCAUGCAGUGUGUCUUAGAUAUGCUGAAAAAGCCUCUGUAUCAUGUGAGCUAGUACUAUUGCUGCCUUAACAAAAAUGUGGCAGUUACCUGAAUCUCUGGUUCUUGCAUUUUCUGCUGCUUGGUUGAUGUCUGGUUACAGUGUGUUAUUUCAUAGUGGAUUUUAAGCCGGUGCUAUUGUUAUUUAAUCAUAAUAUUGUUUUUGUCCAUCCAGUUUUACAUAUUUCAUGGCAAAGUUUAGCACUAAUGCUUCUGUUGAGUGUUAGCAUGUACAAUAUUCAAGCAAGAAUUUACCAAAAUAAAUGCAACAUUUUUACACUUUAAAACAA
rnacentral:lncRNA from 1 species